UCUUAGUCGCUUUGUCAACUUAUCAGUCGUUUUGAUCUUAAUCGACUGGGAUUUCUUCAGUCGAUUAGUUAUUUUUUUUAAAGCUUUUUCAUGAUGAAUAACUUAUUUCCUAAAAACUUAUGAGCACAUCUUUGGUAAACACAAUAUUUAAAAGUAAUGCUUUUGCAUUAUUCUUUGUGGAGAAACUCAGUUUUAAAGAUAUAUAACAAACUACAAUUAUAUUGU